rnacentral:rRNA from 1 species
AUGGAUGUGAAUUUUGUUGGUAGGAAUAAUUUUGGAAACAAUGCUUAUAGAGGAAAUUUUAAUACUAGACCGUUCCCUAGUAAUCCGUCUAGUAAUUAUGGAAAUUCCUACAAUAAUUCUUAUAGUAAUUUUAAUAAGAUGCCCUCUGAUUUUGAGAAUAGUGUGAAAGAAUUUAUGAUUUCUCAAAAGAAUUUUAAUGCCUUGCUUGAAGAAAAAUUGCUCAAAGUUGAUGAUUUGGCUAGGAACGUUGAUAGACUUUCUCUUGAUGUUAAUUCUCUUAAACUUGGAUCUUCUUCUCCUAAGCAUGAUAUCAAUGAGUCUCUCAAAGUAAUGAGAAUCUCCAUUGACGAGUGCAAGGAAAGAACCGCUAGAUUGCGUGCUAAAAAAGAAAGCUUCAUAAAAGCGUGUUCUUCUAGUCUACAUGAAAAUAAUGAUGAGGAUCUUAAAGUUAUUGAUGCGUCUCCGAUUAGAUCUAUGUUUUGCAAGAUGAAUUUUGAUGAUUAUGGGAGUGAUGAUGAAUCAACUUUGCCUAGAAGGCGUCCCAAAAAUUCGGAAUCUUUAGAUCAUGAUGUUAAAUUUGGUAAAAGAGAGAUUGGAGAAUCUUCAACUUCUAAUAUUGAACCUACUAUCUCGGAUUUCAAGGAAUUUGAUUAUGAGAAUUGCUCUUUAAAAGGUUGUAUUUCCUUGUUGCAAUCCGUUGUUAAUUCUCCUCAUGCUUAUAGUCAAAAUAAAGCUUUUACCAAACAUAUCGUUGAUGCCUUGUUGCAAUCUUAUGAUGAAAAACUGAAUUUGGAAGUUUCUAUACCUAGAAAACUUAAUGAUGAGUGGGAACCUACUAUAAAGAUUAGAAUUAAAUAUUAUGAAUGUUUUGCUUUGUGUGAUUUGGGUGCUAGUGUUUGCACGAUUCCGAAAACUUUAUGUGAUAUUCUAGGUUUCCAUGAUCUUGAUGAUUGCUCUUUAAAUUUGCACCUUGCGGAUUCCAUCAUUAAAAAGCCUAUGGGAAGGAUCAAUGAUGUUCUUAUUGUUGCUAAUAGAAAUUUGGUGCCCGUAGAUUUUAUCGUUCUUGAUAUAGAUUGCAAUCUUUCUUGCCCUAUUAUUCUUGGUAGACCUUUCCUUAGAACGAUUGGUGCGACUAUUGAUAUGAAGGAAGGGAAUAUUAGAUUCCAAUUUACUUUAAAGAAAGACAUGGAGCACUUUCCAAGAAAGAAAGUCAAAUUACCUUAUGAAUCUAUCAUGCGUGCUACUUAUGAAUCAAGUGCCAAAGAUGGCACUAGUUAG